rnacentral:lncRNA from 1 species
AGACUUCUUUGAGCAACCCGAGGGGAAGAUAGACCACCUAAUCGGUGAUGGAUCCGUGAUGAAAGAAGAUGGAGUUGUUUGAUUUUAUUUUACUUGUUUAUAUUAGUGAAUGAAUAAACUAAUAGCCAUUAGUAAUAACUCGUAUUAGUUAGUUCACGAUAUAAUGUUAGUAUUAGUUCUUUAGAAUGUAUCAAUAUGCUC